rnacentral:tRNA from 1 species
AAGGGAGACCUAAUUCAGGUAUGGGACGAAAAAAAAGUAGUCGCUACCAAGAAUCAAUCCCAAAAGGUCGGAGCGAGGUAUGAGGCUUUCAAACUAGGUUCUGGGUUCAAACAAGACCUGAAUCAGGAACAAGGGCUAUUAGCUCAGGUGGUUAGAGCGCACCCCUGAUAAGGGUGAGGUCCCUGGUUCGAGUCCAGGAUGGCCCACCUGCGCAGGUGGCAAAAACAAGAGAAGCGAGGAAUCAGCACCUUAUCUUAUCUAUAUAUAAGAGAGAAUGCUGGCUCUGAGUAAAGAGUCCAGAGGAACCUUGAAAACUGCAUAGAGCUAGGUGAAAAAGCCAAAAAAGAAGACCGCAA